rnacentral:lncRNA from 1 species
GCUCUGACCUAUAUAUAGCACAGGGCCUGCCACAUGAUAGACACUUAUAAUACAGCUGCUGAAGGAUUGUAGUGAACUCACUGUGACAAGAACAGUGAUCACAUGGCUAGAGGAGGGUGGGACUCUUAACAGCAGCCUAUCUGGAUGAAAGGUGCAGUCUGUAAGAAGCACUCUGGCCACUUUGAAGCUGAGUCAUGAAGGAGGACUUCAGAGAGAUGUAACUGUCUGCAAGGACCUUCUCAUAAAUUUCGCUCAGAGAGGAGGCCUUCUGUGAAGUUGCCAUUAGACAUUGUCAUUCAUCUGUGGAGACUGAGGGCCAGAUAGUUUCAGGGCUGCAGCCCAUUGUGGAAAACUCUGAUGUCGAACUCCUAUGGCUGUAUAAACACCAGAGCUUAGUUCAGGGAGUCCCUCAGAUUGCCAACAAGUAUGAACUGAAUGAUGACACUGUUCGAAAUGCCUUCCUUGCUAUUCUCCUGCAUGACCAAGUAUCCUGGCUUUUUAGAUGCAGCCAUUAAACAUUAAGGUGACAAAAAUAAAGCUACUAUGACAGAAUGACA